CCUGAUAGUAAAUAUUAUAUUUUAUAACAAACGCGGGAAUUGUCGUUCUGGUCACAAAAUGGACCGUGCACAUCCAAAGCACAAACGUAAACCGUGUAUAAAUUGCGCACCAUCCACCAUCUCGGACUUUAAUAAUAUUUCGUGUUUGCACCUUGAUAUACUGUUCCGUCCAAACAAUUGCCCGUAGAGUGACAAAUUCGAAAAAGUAUAAAAGUAUAAAUACCCGACGCGUUUAUG